rnacentral:rRNA from 1 species
AGAGUUUGAUUAUGGCUCAGAUUGAACGCUGGCGGCAGGCCUAACACAUGCAAGUCGAGCGGUAGAGAGAAGCUUGCUUCUCUUGAGAGCGGCGGACGGGUGAGUAAUGCCUAGGAAUCUGCCUGGUAGUGGGGGAUAACGUUCGGAAACGGACGCUAAUACCGCAUACGUCCUACGGGAGAAAGCAGGGGACCUUCGGGCCUUGCGCUAUCAGAUGAGCCUAGGUCGGAUUAGCUAGUUGGUGAGGUAAUGGCUCACCAAGGCGACGAUCCGUAACUGGUCUGAGAGGAUGAUCAGUCACACUGGAACUGAGACACGGUCCAGACUCCUACGGGAGGCAGCAGUGGGGAAUAUUGGACAAUGGGCGAAAGCCUGAUCCAGCAGCCGCGGUAAU